AAGCAGGAUCUGUCUCACCAUACACUGAGAACUGUAGAAUAUGCAAGGCACAUGGAACUUAUUUUCUUACGUAUAAAAGCGUGUAUAUGCUCCUUAUACAUCUGUCCUAAUGCUUUCCAACAGUCCUCACUCUAAGCCUCACCAAGACCCAGAUGAGGAAACAAAGGCACAGAGGGAUAAACUCAGAGCAGGAAGACAGCAAGGAAUAGCAGUGAAAAGCAUGGUGCUUAAUCCAACCCCUUACUCACUGCUGAGACCUGGAAAUGUGUUCAUCAGCUACAAAACAGGAGAGAUGAUAACUCAUUAUGUAUAUGUGAUGAUAAACAGAGACAAUAUAUUGAAGAGCUUAUAUGAGUGGCAGACACGGGACAUGCUUCCCUGUGGCUGGCCAGCGUGUCAUCUUCUCCAUGUGUCCAGAGAAAAGCUUUGCAAAUCAACCUCUCGAUGAAUGAUGACGGCACCAGUGAAAUCAGGGGAGGCAGAAAAUCAUGUUAGUUUGGUUUAUAAUGCAAGAAGUUACAGAACACAGAGUGCUCAAAACUAAGAAUGUGCUAGUUGUAUAACAGGGUCCUUCUUGGGACUCAGCCAGGAUUCAAACUAUAAAGGAAAAUCGGGUGAGCAGGUGGGAUAGUCAAGUGAUUCUAUUUGCAUGAAUAAUUUUGUGAGAUGAUACCUUCUUGUCCAGGAACAUUGAGCAGUGCUCGUGCUGGGUGGAUUGUGAUGUGGAAACCCUGGGAGAUGUCACGUCUGACAUCAACUUUCUCCCAGGUGACAGCUGCACCCUCUAAAGGCUUCUCAAAUGACAGAGCUCAAUGAAUAUAGAAGGGAAAAGUAUGAGGAUGACCUAUGAGCACAGGGUGGACAGUCUCUGCGGUGGGCAGGCAUUAGCAAAGGAGAGACCUUCUGUAUUAUGCAGAGUGGAAUUUUCCAGAGGCUACAUGAUGAGUGACGUCACGACAGAUUGAGUACAGAGCCAACUAUGAGAAUCCAGCUGCCUUCUAUUAAGGUACCCUUUCUGUGGAUACCUUCAAGUUCCAGCACCAAAUAUGAAGGCGACUGCCAUCACCAGCUCCCACCCCUACAUGAGGUCAAAUCCCUGGAUGGCAUAUAACACACUAGAGCAAUUAAGAGGAUCUAACUAAAGGUGGGGAAGGAAAAAUGUGUGUACAGAGACAGGAAGUCAUGGACACAGUUAUAUUGAAAGAUACAAUGACCUCCUC
rnacentral:lncRNA from 1 species